rnacentral:sRNA from 2 species
AGGCUUCAGAAUUUUCUACAACCUGCGCAAGCAGAAACUUAAAACCAAUACGCAGGUUCACGUUUUCCCUGGUGUUGGCGCAAUAUUCGCGCACCCCGGCCUCGGU